rnacentral:tRNA from 1 species
GGAGUUGUAGCUCAGUGGUGGAGUGCUUGCCUAGCAAGAGUGAGAGGCAUUGGGUUCGAUUCUCAGCACCA